rnacentral:tRNA from 1 species
GUGUGGCACAGUGAUAGAGCACAUGCCUUGUAGGCAUGAGGUCCUGGGUUCAAUCCCAGGCAC